rnacentral:rRNA from 1 species
CGUGCCUAAUACAUGCAAGUCGAGCGAACAGACGAGGAGCUUGCUCCUCUGACGUUAGCGGCGGACGGGUGAGUAACACGUGGAUAACCUACCUAUAAGACUGGGAUAACUUCGGGAAACCGGAGCUAAUACCGGAUAAUAUAUUGAACCGCAUGGUUCAAUAGUGAAAGACGGUUUUGCUGUCACUUAUAGAUGGAUCCGCGCCGCAUUAGCUAGUUGGUAAGGUAACGGCUUACCAAGGCAACGAUGCGUAGCCGACCUGAGAGGGUGAUCGGCCACACUGGAACUGAGACACGGUCCAGACUCCUACGGGAGGCACCAGUAGGGAAUCUUCCGCACUGGGCGACAGCCUGACCGAUC